rnacentral:rRNA from 1 species
CGUGACACGGAACAUUGAGCCUUGAUGUGUAGGAUAGGUGGGAGGCUUUGAAGCGUGGACGCCAGUCUGCGUGGAGCCGACCUUGAAAUACCACCCUUUAAUGUUUGAUGUUCUAACGUUGGCCCCUUACCGGGGUUGCGGACAGUGUCUGGUGGGUAGUUUGACUGGGGCGGUCUCCUCCCAAAGCGUAACGGAGGAGCACGAAG